rnacentral:rRNA from 1 species
GAUGAACGCUGGCGGCGUGCUUAACACAUGCAAGUCGAACGAUGAAGCCCAGCUUGCUGGGUGGAUUAGUGUCGAACGGGUGAGUAACACGUGAGUAACCUGCCCUUAACUCUGGGAUAAGCCUGGGAAACUGGGUCUAAUACCGGAUAGGAGCGCCUACCGCAUGGUGGGUGUUGGAAAGAUUUAUCGGUUUUGGAUGGACUCGCGGCCUAUCAGCUUGUUGGUGAGGUAAUGGCUCACCAAGGCGACGACGGGUAGCCGGCCUGAGAGGGUGACCGGCCACACUGGGACUGAGACACGGCCCAGACUCCUACGGGAGGCAGCAGUGGGGAAUAUUGCACAAUGGGCGCAAGCCUGAUGCAGCGACGCCGCGUGAGGGAUGACGGCCUUCGGGUUGUAAACCUCUUUCAGUAGGGAAGAAGCGAAAGUGACGGUACCUGCAGAAGAAGCACCGGCUAACUACGUG